UACGUAGGGGGCGAGCGUUAUCCGGAAUUACUGGGCGUAAAGGGUGCGUAGGCGGCCUUUUAAGUCAGAUGUGAAAGGCUACGGCUUAACCGUAGUUAGCAUUUGAAACUAAGAGGCUUGAGUGCAGGAGAGGAGAGUGGAAUUCCUAGUGUAGCGGUGAAAUGCGUAGAUAUUAGGAGGAACACCAGUGGCGAAGGCGACUCUCUGGACUGCAACUGACGCUGAGGCACGAAAGCGUGGGUAGCGAACAGG
rnacentral:rRNA from 1 species